AACGAACGCUGGCGGCAUGCCUAACACAUGCAAGUCGAACGAGACCUUCGGGUCUAGUGGCGCACGGGUGCGUAACGCGGGGGAACCUGCCCUUAGGUUCGGGAUAACUCCCCGAAAGGGGUGCUAAUACCGGAUAAUGUCUUCGGACCAAAGAUUGAUCGCCUUUGGAUGGGCCCGCGUUGGAUUAGCUUGUUGGUAGGGUAAAAGCCUACCAAGGCUACGAUCCAUAGCUGGUCUGAGAGGAUGAUCAGCCACACUGGGACUGAGACACGGCGCAGACUCCUACGGGAGGGAGCAGUGGGGAAUAUUGGACAAUGGGCGAAAGCAUGAUCCAGCAAUGCCGCGUGAGUGAUGAAGGCCUUAGGGUUGUAAAGCUCUUUUACCCGGGAUGAUAAUGACAGUACCGGGAGAAUAAGCUCCGGCUAACUCCGUG
rnacentral:rRNA from 1 species